AGAGUUUGAUCCUGGCUCAGAACGAACGCUGGCGGCAGGCUUAACACAUGCAAGUUGAACGGGAUUUGUGUGGUGCUUGCACCAUAUAAUGAGAGUAGCGCACUGGUGAGUAACACGUGGGAACGUGCCUUUUAGUGGGGGAUAACAUCUGGAAACGGAUGCUAAUACCGCAUACGCCCUGAGGGGGAAAGAUUUAUUGCUAAGAGGUCGGCCCGCGGUAGAUUAGGCAGUUGGUGGGGUAAAGGCCUACCAAACCUACGAUCUAUAGCUGGUCUGAGAGGACGAUCAGCCACAUUGGAACUGAGACACGGUCCAGACUCCUACGGGAGGCAGCAGUGAGGAAUAUUGGGCAAUGGAGGCAACUCUGACCCAGCCAUGCCGCGUGAGUGAAGAAGGUUUUCGAAUUGUAAAGCUCUUUCGGAUGGGACGAUGAUGACGGUACCAUCUAAAGAAGCCCCGGCAAACUUCGUGCCAGCAGCCGCGGUAAUACGAAGGGGGCAAGCGUUGUUCGGAAUUACUGGGCGUAAAGGGUGUGUAGGCGGUUAAGUAAGAUAGUGGUGAAAUGCCGGGGCUCAACCUCGGAAUUGCCAUUAUGACUAUUUAGCUAGAAUGAUGCAGAGGAUAGCGGAAUACCCAGUGUAGAGGUGAAAUUCGUAGAUAUUGGGUAGAACACCAGAGGCGAAGGCGGCUAUCUGGGCAUUGAUUGACGCUGAGGCACGAAAGCAUGGGGAUCAAACAGGAUUAGAUACCCUGGUAGUCCAUGCUGUAAACGAUGAAUGCUAGUUGUUGGAGGAAUUCAGUGACGCAGUUAACACAAUAAGCAUUCCGCCUGGGGAGUACGGUCGCAAGAUUAAAACUCAAAGGAAUUGACGGGGACCCG
rnacentral:rRNA from 1 species